GAUGAACGCUGGCGGCAUGCCUAACACAUGCAAGUCGGGCGGGAAAAGGGGGCUUCCGUGGGGGUCGGGCGGGGGACGGGUGAGAAACUGCCCUGGGGAGGGGAACAAGAGCGGGAAAAGGCCGGUAAAAGCCCGCUAGCUGAGGAGCAAAAGGUGGGAACAACCAGGGGGGGGGCUUGCGUAUGAUUUGCUAGUUGGUGAGGCAAUAGCUUACCAAGGAGGUGAGCAGGAGCUGGUCCGAGAGGAGGAUCAGCCACACUGGGACGGAGACACGGACCAGAGUCCUACGGGAGGCAGGAGUGGGGAAUUUUCCGCAAUGGGCGAAAGGCUGACGGGGCAAUGCCGCGUGGAGGUAGAAGGACCACGGGUCGUGAACUGCUUUUCACGGAGAAGAAGCAAUGACGGUACCUGGGGAAUAAGCAUCGGCUAACUCUGUG
rnacentral:rRNA from 1 species